UUCUAACCCUCUUCUCGUGUGCCUCUCAGCCAAACAUUGCUCAAAAACCCCAGAGACAGGGAAAUAUUUUUCUGCUUGCAUUGGAAAGUUGGGAAAGACAUCUGAGGCAGAAGGAAAACUCAAGUCUUUACAAGUUCAUUUAUGAUUGGGACAUCAACAAAAACGGGGCCUACUUGAGGAAAGCCUUAGGAUUUCCUGAUGGGGUGAUGCUGAUUCAUGGUUACUGCUUCGAAUUCCUGCUCUGACUUCCCUCAGUGAUGGAACGUGACCUGGGAGUUAGCCCUCAUCCAGUGGCUGAUGGAAGCAGAGGCAGACACCCACAGAUAUACACUGAACUGAACUGGAACUUAGUUGCAGAGAGGGAGGAAUGAAGAUCAAAGUGGGCUGUCUGGGAGGUCAGUACAAGAGUGAUUCGACUCCUGAACAUGACUGUCAAUUGGGAGGCCUUUGCAUUCUAGGGGGCCCCUGGUAGUGG
rnacentral:lncRNA from 1 species